AUUGAACGCUGGCGGCAGGCCUAACACAUGCAAGUCGAGCGAGCGGCGGACGGGUGAGUAAUGUUUGGGGACUGCCCGAUAGAGGGGGAUAACUACUGGAAACGGUGGCUAAUACCGCAUACUAGCGGAUAACCCAUAUGGGAUUAGCUAGUAGGUGGGGUAAAGGCUCACCUAGGCGACGAUCCCUAGCUGGUCUGAGGGGAUGAUCACCCACCCCUGGACUGGUACCCGUCCCCGACGCCUACGGAGGCAGCAGUUGGGAAUAUUGGACAAUGGGCGAAAGCCUUAUCCAGCACUACCGGGUGUGUGAAGAAGGCCCUAGGGUUGUAAAGCACUUUUGUUAGGGAGAUGUUACCUAAAGAAUAAGCACCGGCUAACUCCGUGCCAGCAGCCGCGGUAAUAC
rnacentral:rRNA from 1 species